rnacentral:rRNA from 1 species
CACCUACCCAGCUGCUGCAACCUGCAAGGAGAUCAGACCACCAUUCACUGAGCUCGUUUCUCUCAUCGAUCUAACAGCGUCUCCUCUCUCAAGGGUUUUAUUACAUCAGUGGACAAUUUGUAUCAGGUCCGGUUUGUGCUAAAUAUUUGUUGGCACAUGAAUGAUUUCCUGGAGUCAACUUUCUUGAACAAUUACCAUACGCUGCUAUAGAAAGCACAUACAUGGAUAUUGAGGUCCUGCAGCGUAUACUUGAUAGAAGGGAGAAGCCGACAAAUCUAUCAUUUGAGCUUUUGAAGAAUAUCACAGAAAACUUCUCGGACGAUCGAGAAAUUGGCCAUGGUGGAUUCGCAACAGUUUAUAAAGGAGUGCUCCCAAAUGGGGAUGUUGCUGUAAAGAGGAUAAGGAACGGCUAUACAAUCAAUGAGACCUUUUUUUAUCGAGAAGUUGACAGCCUGUUGAACAUUGAACAUAAAAAUGUCGUACGGUUUCUUGGCUUCUGUGCUAGCACAGACCAAACAGCCGUACCAAUCAAAGGAUCAAAACAACAUAUUUACGCGGAGGUAAGAGAAAGACUACUCUGUUUUGAGUAUAUCAGCAAUGGAAGCCUGAAAAAAUAUAUUACUGAUGAAUUAAGGGGACUUGAAUGGAAUACACGUUAUAAAAUAAUUAGAGGCAUCUGUGAAGGUUUGCAUCAUCUGCACAACGAAAAGCAGAUAUAUCAUAUGGAUCUGAAACCCGACAAUAUACUACUAGACAAUGAUAUGGUGCCGAAGAUCACAGAUUUUGGUUUAUCGAGACUUGAUGAGAAGUCAAAAACUAUGAGUGAAGAACGUCAUGGAUCACUAGGAUAUUGUGCUCCUGAAUACCUACAUCAGGGAAAAAUGUCAUUCAAAUCAGACAUGUACAGUUUGGGUGUCAUAAUUAUUGAACUAGUGACUGGACAAAAGGCGGUCCCCAAUAAUAAUAACAAUGUACUUAGGAGAUGGAGGCACAUAUGGAAGAAAACUGGGAAUGAAACACCAUUGGUUUACCAACAAGUAGCAAAAUGCCUCCAAAUUGGGUUACUCUGCCAGGAAGUUGACCCAUCCAAAUGACCGUAUAUAUGGGAUAUGAUACAUGUUAUAAGAAAAAUUGAAGGUGCUAAUGAAAAAAUCAGCAAUGCCUAUGAACAUACAUUUGGACAGAUAAGCCCUUACUCGGAAGAUGAUAUGCUUGGAGUUGAGCCACUCCAACUGCAUUUUCUUUUUGAGCUUAAAAAACAGAUGUCGUGUGCACUUCAGCUAACCAAUGGGACAGAUUCUUACAUUGCUUUCAACAUUGAAAAUACGAGUCCCCUAUCAUACUUCACACAGCCGCAGAAAGGUAUUGUGCCGCCACGAUCCAUGUGGUGUGUUGAGAUAACAAUGCAGUUGCAGGGCAAGGCUCCGGGAUACAUGCGUCGUGCCAAUGAACUUAUUGUAUGGAGCACCAAAGCAAAUGAUUGCCUUGUAGUUGAGGAUAUAACUACAAACAUGUUCAUUAAUGAGGCGGUCAACGUGGUUGAUGACGUGAAUUUGGAUGUGGUUUUUGUUGUCUAUGAGCCACAGGAAGCAAGUAAGGAAACCAGUGUGACAAUCCGACCUUUAAUAGAGAUUACAUAUGGUGCAGUCGGUUGGUUAUUUUCUAUGGAUGCACAUCAGACAGCCAUUGAUUGUAACCGGUCACGAAUCUGGUGAUGUUCAGAUUUGGAACUAUGAGACACAGCAGAAAGUGGUCGCUUCGAUUAAGGUCUCAAAGAUACUAGUAUCCAUUGUUAAAUUUAUUGCACGAAAGCGGUGGAUUAUGGUUGUGUCAGAUGAUUGUUUACUCCAUGUGUACAAGUAUGAAAAGGAACUGGAAAAGGUCACGAGUUUCAAAGCCCAUGAUUCUCUUGCGAGGGCACGGUGUUUAUUAGAUGUUCAUCCGACCCAGCCGUAUGUGCUGUCAGGAUGUCGUGAGAAAAUAAAGCUUUGGGACUGGGACCAGGACUGGAAUUGCAUACAGACAUUUGAAGAACACUCAGAUGAUAUUAAAGAACUAAAAUUUAACCCAGAGGACACCAACAGUUUUGCAAGUGCUUCAUUGGAUUGUACAGUAAAGGUUCGGAGUCUUGAUUCUCCCAAAUCCAAGUAUACCCUGUCUGGGCAUUCGGAUUUGGUGUACAGCGUGGAUUUCUUCACACGCGAUGGUCAGCAGUAUUUGAUUAGCGGCUCUCGUGACAAGACUGCCAAGAUAUGCGACUUGCAGAAGAAGUGUGUUCAUACACUGGAACAUGAGUGUCACGUCUAUUCCGUCUUUGCCCAUCCCAGUCUUCCAGUUCUAAUUACAGGUGCUUAUGAUGCUCUUCGUGUGUGGAGCUCCACUGAUUUCAGGCUGAAGAAAAAGCUUGAGGUCGAUUGGCCGGUUUAUGGUCUCGCAUGUUUGAUGGGGUCAGAAAGGGUUGCAGUUGCACAAUUUUAUGCAGUGUUAGUGAUGAAAAUUGGUGAUGAAGAAGGACAAGGUGGUUGUGAAGGCAGCAGCAACGAGAAUUCCGUAGCAGCUAUAGAUUCUUAGGAAACCCAACGCCAAUCGAGAGGACUGCUAGUACGUCUACGCAGUCUAUGCUGACACGGGCAUAAUGAAUUUCCAGAUCCGGAAACUUGAACGACUGAUUGGAGAUGAACAGUACCUGUCUGCUAGUACGUCAACUCUAGCAGGUGGCAACAACUUGUGUGCAGAAGAUGAUGAUUUCGUCAAGAUAACUUUGUAUUGUCCGGGAGGAAAUUUUACCUGUCUUUUGGUAAAUGUUGGGUGCCAAAAAAUAACUUCCACCAUUCUUUUUCUAAGGGCUAUGUCAACACUUCAUUGUCCAUGUUUAUGCACAUGCUUAUGCGAUAAGUCAUUUAAAGAAUCUCGACAAUGUGUCAAUGCAACAUUUCUUUUGUCUCA